AAUACCUUGUCCUUGUAAAUCACCUUGGCUGAUUUUUUGAUAUUUGCCCUCUGGCACCAAGCACAGUGGUGUGAAAGACACUCUUAAAACUCUCUGCACUCUCCCUUCAGACCUGAGAAGCUGGGUCCUUGCGUGAUCAGCCUUCCCACUUGGUCAGGAAACAAGAUAGUCUCUCUUUUCCUGCCCUUCUCAAAGAGGAAACACCCCCAAGAGCAACCGCAAGGAGUUUUUGCAAGCAUACACAACUCUUUGUGGGAAAGAAGAACGUCAGGGUGAACCACACCCACCCAAGAAAACAACACUCAGCGGAUACUGAUGGAAUAAAGCCAUAAUACUGUUUUGAGCAACUGACAUUUUCAGAGCACAGGCUCCGGACACGCAGGCUCAGCGGCCAUGGCUCACGGGCCCAGCCGCUCCGCGGCAUGUGGGAUCUUCCCGGACCAGGGCACGAACCCGUGUCCCCUGCAUCGGCAGGCGGACUCUCAACCACAGCGCCACCAGAGAAGCCCCAUAAUUAUUUAAAAAUAAGAAUAAUUAGUUAAUUGAGAUGUAUAGUAUUUUCUUAGGUCCUAGGCCAUCAUCUCAAUAUAUAUCUCGUGAGCAUGAGUAAAGCAGAAAAAUAUAAUCAAAAUAGAGCUUUGAAAGAGAUGGUUUAAGACAAAGAGAAACUUAAUUGACUUUAACAAGUUUUCAACCCAAUAGUGUAAAAAUCAGCUGUGGAGUUUACUAAAAGUUCAGAUGGCUGGACCAGUGCUUGCAAAUUCUGUUUACUUGGGUAAAUGUGCAGCAGAGAUACUGGAAAAAAACAAACAAAAAAACACAACAUGUCCACAGCCAGAUGCUAAAAGCUCUGAGCUAGUUAAUAGAAUAUCUAUGUUUAGGAUAGAUUACUUCCAUUUGAAAUAAUCUUGUGACUCAGCUGGAAACAAUCUAUCCUAAACAUAGAAAAAAUGGAUUAUCCAGCCAAAAAUAGUUAAGGAUAAUUGGGGCCAGGAAUUCUCUUUAUUUUUGUUAUUCCCAUCAAUUCCAAGGGAAAUAAAGCACCAAAGAGGACAAACGGAA